rnacentral:ncRNA from 1 species
GAUUUGGUGACAGCCUCACACGCUGUUGAAAAGGGAACCGGGUGCGAAUCCCGGGCAAUCCCGUUGCCGUGUGUCCUGUACAACAUCCCGACAGCAUUUAUAUCCACUGUGAGCCGAGAGAGGCUCAUGGGAAGGAUUGCCGGGGUGGGGACGAGCCGGAAGACCUGCCAGAUCCG